CGUGGCGAACGGGUGCGUAACACGUGGACAACCUUCCUUCAGGUGGGGAAUAACCCAGCGAAAGUUGGGCUAAUACCGCAUCACAAAGCGAUGGCACAUGCUGUUGCUUUCAAAGCCGCAAGGCGCCAGAAGAGGGGUCCGCGGCCGAUUAGCUAGUUGGCGAGGUAACGGCUCACCAAGGCAAAGAUCGGUAGCCGGUCUGAGAGGAUGAUCGGCCACACUGGAACUGAGACACGGUCCAGACUCCUACGGGAGGCAGCAGUGGGGAAUCUUGCGCAAUGGGCGAAAGCCUGACGCAGCAACGCCGCGUGGGGGAUGAAGCUUCUCGGAGUGUAAACCCCUUUCGACCCGGACGAAUGCCCGCAAGGGCUUGACGGUACGGGUAUAAGAAGCCCCGGCUAACUACGUGCCAGCAGCCGCGGUAAAACGUAGGGGGCCAGCGUUGCUCGGAAUUACUGGGCGUAAAGGGUCCGUAGGCGGUGUGGCAAGUCGGAAGUGAAAUCUCUGGGCUUAACUCAGAGGCUGCUUCCGAGACUGCCGUGCUAGAGUGCGAGAGAGGCAAGUGGAAUUGCGGGUGUAGCGGUGAAAUGCGUAGAUAUCCGCAGGAACAUCCGAGGCGAAAGCGGCUUGCUGGAUCGCAACUGACGCUGAGGGACGAAAGCUAGGGGAGCAAACAGGAUUAGAUACCCUGGUAGUCCUAGCCCUAAACCAUCAGGACUUGGGGUUUGCCCUGUACGGGGCAAGUCCCGUAGCUAACGCGUUAAGUCCUGCGCCUGGGGAGUACGGUCGCAAGGCUGAAACUCAAAGGAAUUGACGGGGGCCCGCACAAGCGGUGGAACAUGUGGUUCAAUUCGA
rnacentral:rRNA from 1 species